ensembl:lincRNA
AACAUAAAUUAUGUCACAUACAAAUGGGAUAUAUUGAUAAGGUGAGUGUGCUUAUGCACUUGUGCGUUAGAGAGUGUGUGUGUGUGUGUGUAAAGAGAGUAAGACCUUGAUGACAUACAAAUAUCAUUGAGAAAAUGGAAAGUUGUAGAACAGUAUAACAACAUUUUAUUUUGGAAAAAAUAGUACUUGAUAUGUCCAUAUCUAUAUAGACAUAGAUACUAUAUGGAUGCUAUAGAUAUGAAUAUGGAAAGAUAUUACAUUUAGUAUAACUAUAGAAACAAAAACCUAGCCAUGUUUGUGCCAAAUCAUUUACUCACAGCGUUUAGCUCUGGGAUGGUGGGAGGAUCUCUUCUAUUCCUAUUUUACUUUACAUGUUUCAUGAAAAGGGAGGGUAAGGGGGUGGAAGGAUAGGUGUUUUGUGUUUAUCUUUGUAUUUUUCUGUAUUUUUCAAUAUUCCUAUACUAUGUUGCUUUUGUAAAAAGAAAGAUUUUUUUAAAAAAUAACUUUGGUAAUAUUUGUGAUUAUGUUUAAUUUUAUAGGUUAAUAGGUUCAAGGAACACAGACCAAGAGAUGCAACCCAUGAGUAGUUGAACUGAAAUCCUUCUACUGUUCCAUUGCAUCGUCUUUGACAAAGGCAAGCCAGAAAUAACAGACUAUGGCUCUGCCUCUCUGUUCAGAAACAGCACCUGCCCCCAGGGUCAGUUGGGGAACCAAUGCCGCCUGAUGCCACCAUGCUCUGCCUGUAGCAGCAAGCUGAUGCCCAAAACUGGAGGACAUCAUGGUGAUACACCACAGAGAACAUGGCUGGGGCAUGUGCCAGGUAGGACAAUGCAGGGAAGCCAAAAACAAUGGGAGAAAACACAAUAAAGUGAGACCCACCCGGAUGGUAAACACAGCAGCAGAGCCACACACGUACUUCCUUUCUGGGAGCGGUGGGGAAAGCAGCCUGGCAGGUCAGGAGAUGGAUGGAAACUGCUGGGGAUGCAGGAAGCCUGGGGCACUAACUGGAGUUGUUAUGGCCUUGCCCUAGGAAGAAGAACCACUGUAGUGUUAACUGUGAUGGGCAGAAUGGCCCUCGAGUCACCCUGCCUGUGGCCUAACACUUGGACACUGUCACGUAAGAGGCUCCUCACAUUUACUCCGGGGAUGUAAAGAACAUUCUAAAUUACUUGGUAGUUUGGGGGUGUGAGUACAUGGAAGCAUUUUAAAAAUUCUAAUUUGUAUGUUUUUGGGGGACUUUGUGUUCUUUUCUUGUUUCUUAUUUUUUUGAGAUGGAGUUUCAUUCUUGUUGCCCAGGCUGGAGUGCAGUGGCACGAUCUGAGCUCACUGCAACCUCUGCCUCCUGGGUUCAAGCAGUUCUCCUGCCUCAGCCUCCCCAGUAGCUGGGAUUACAGACACAUGCCACGAUGCCCGGCUAAUUUUUGUAUUUGUAGUAGAGACAGGGUUUCACCAUGUUUAUCAGGCUGGUCUUGAACUCCUGAUAUGAGGUGAUCCACCCACCUUGGCCUCCCAAAGUGCUGGGAUUACAGCUGUGAACUGCUGCGCCCAGCCGACUUUGUAUUAUUUCUGUGCGUGUAUGUGGGCUUACAGAACUCAUGGAUGCUCAUUGUGAAAUAUUUCAACACUGCAGAUGUAUGUGAGGUAGAGAGUGGGAAUCCUCAGUGAUGAGAAACCACCACCCAUCCUCAAAACUGGAGGCCACUGUGAAUCCUUUCAUUCUAUGUAGAAGACAACACUGUGUGUACUGUAAUUUUAUAGAUGAUGUCAAUGUAAAAUAGCAUGAAUCUUGUUCUGGAUCUCAACUUUUUCUAUGCAUAAUUAAGUGUAUUUAAAAUGAUUUAAAAUAAAUUGUGAGUCAUACCUCAGCCUUUCUUAACCAGUGAGAUGAAAUGUGAUGUGUCAAAAUUGAGUUAAAUCCAUAUUCUUUGUGGAUGUGCUUUUGACUUGCACAUAAGGAAAAGCAGGCAGGCAAAAGUGAGGCAGUUUCACACACUGUAUUGACAUUCAACAACGAGAAGGUCAGAGUAGGGAGUUGAUGUCAAUAUGUUCAUCCCAUACUGCAAUAAAGCUGUCCCGGCAACUGCAAUCCCAGCUGCCGUUUCCCCUCCUUUGGGUGAGAAAUGAGCC